GGAAGUUGUAGAAUAUCUUUAAAAUAAAUUAAAAUAGUGGGGAGGUGCAGGACCCACUUGGGGAGGUGGAGGGAGCAACACCCAUAAAAGAGAGAUAUAGAAUGAAAGAUUUAUGCACCAAUUUAGGGUAAGUUUAUUGGAAAAAAAGGGCAGGUUUGGUUUAUUAUAGAGCUGUCAAAACGGGUAACCCGGCUCGUCCCGGCCCGGCCCACC
rnacentral:lncRNA from 1 species